rnacentral:tmRNA from 1 species
GGGGAUGUAAAGGUUUCGACAGGGAUCCUGAACCGUGAUAAGCAUGAAGCGUUACGGGAACGCUUUGAAAACCGAACUUUAAACAAUAACUGACAAAAAUACAGUUGCUUUUGCAGCUUAAUUAAGCUGCCGUCCUGCCGUUUUUUACCGUGGGAACGGAAAGGGCGUCAUUUUUGCGGUGAACGUGAGCGGUUGCUUUCUCCGGCGCUGCCAUGAAAAGGAGAUACCGAACCAUAUAGCCUGAUUGCCGGCGAUACGGUAAGGGAAUUUCAGUAGACAAGAUAAUCAUGUAGAAAGUUGCGGGAACGGUUUUUUGGACGCGGGUUCGACUCCCGCCAUCUCCACCA